rnacentral:tRNA from 2 species
GGCCUAUUAGCUCAGCUGGUCAGAGCGUGGUCCUAAUAUAAGGCCAAGGUCGCAGGUUCGAGACCUGCAUGGGCCA